CAGUCGCCACGGUAAUACGUAGGGUGCGAGCGUUAAUCGGAAUUACUGGGCGUAAAGCGUGCGCAGGCGGUUAUAUAAGACAGAUGUGAAAUCCCCGGGCUCAACCUGGGACCUGCAUUUGAGACUGUAUGGCUAGAGUGUGUCAGAGGGGGGUAGAAUUCCACGUGUAGCAGUGAAAUGCGUAGAUAUGUGGAGGAAUACCGAUGGCGAAGGCAGCCCCCUGGGAUAACACUGACGCUCAUGCACGAAAGCGUGGGGAGCAAACAGGAUUAGAUACCCCAGUAGUCCCUGUCUCUUAUAC
rnacentral:rRNA from 1 species